UGGGAUUGUAAAUGCACCAAUCAGUGCCCUGUCAAAACAGACCACUUGGCUCUACCAAUCAGCAGGAUGUGGGUGGGGCCAGAUGAGAGAAUAAAAGCAGGCUGCCGGAGCCAGCAGUGGUAACCCGCUGGGGUCCCCUUCUACACUGUGGAAGCUUUGUUCUUUGCAAUAAAUCUUGCUACUGCUUACUCUUUGGGUCCACAUUGCUUUUAUGAGCUAUAACACUCACCGCGAAGGUCUGCAGCUACACUCCUGAAGCUAGCGAGACCAUGAGCCCACUGGGAGGAAAAAACAACUCCAGACGCGCUGCCUUAAGAGCUGUAACACUCACCGCGAAGGUCUGCAGCUUCACUCCUGAGCCAGCGAGACCACGAACCCAACAGAAGGAAAAAUCUCCGAACACAUCCAAACAUCAGAAGGAACAAACUCCAGUGCGCCACCUUAAGAGCUGUAACACUCACCACGAGGGUCCGCGGCUUCAUUCCUGAAGUCAGUGAGACCAAGAACCCGCCAAUUCCAGACACGUUUUGGCAACCCAGAUGGGACUUUCGCCUAUCGCCAAGUGGUGAGACAAUCGCCGAGCAGUGAGACCAUCGCCUAUUGCUGAGCACUUUACUCCUGAAGCCAGCGAGACCACGAGCCCACUGGGAGGAACGAACAAUUCCAGACGCACUGCCUUAAGAGCUGUAACACUCACCGCAAAGGUCUGCAGCUUCACUCCUGAGCCAGGGAGUCCACGAACCCACCAGAAGGAAGAAACUCCAAACACAUCCGAACAUCAGAAGGAACAAACUCCAGACGUGCCACCUUAAGGGCUGUAACACUCACCGUGAGGGUCCGCGGCUUCAUUCUUGAAGUCAGUGAGACCAAGAACCCACCAAUUCCGGACACAGCACCACUGCACUCCAGCCUGGGUGACAGAGCGAGACCCUGUCUCAAAAAACAAAAAACCACAGAUUGCUGGGCCCCACCCCCAGAACUUCUGUGUUGGGAGCAGGCCCCCCAAAAUCUGGCCAUAAACUGGCCCCAAAACUGGCCAUAAACAAAAUCUCUGCAGCACUGUAACGUGUUCAUAAUGGCCCUAACGCCCAAGCUGGAAGAUUGUGAUUUUAUGGGAAUGAGGGCAAGGAACACCUGGCCUGCCCAGGGCGGAAAAUGCUUGAAGGCGUUCUUAAGCUACAAACAAUAGCAUGAGCGAUCUGUGCCUUAAGAACAUGCUCCUGCUGCAGUUAACUAUCCCAACCUAUUCCUUUAAUUCGGCCCAUCCCUUCGUUUCUCACUUUUUAGUUAAUUGAAUAUCCAUAGAAACAAUGCUAAUGACUGGCUUGCUGUAAAUAAAUACGUGGGUAAAUCUCUGUUCGGGGCUCUCAGCUCUGAAAACUGUGAGACUCCUGGUUUCCCACUUCACACCUCUAUAUUUCUGUGUGUGUGUCUUUAAUUCCCCUAGUGCUGCUGGGUUAGGGUCUCCCUGACCGAGCUGGUCUCGGCACUUCUGAUUUCGUAGGUCUAGGUUGGAGCCUGAGAUUUUGCAUUUUAAGAAGUUCUCAGAAGAUGCUGAUGCAGCUGGUCCAGAGAAUCACUGCUUUAAGCAAUCACAUUUAAUUCUUAGCAGUCCUUUUAAUGGAUAUUUUUGUCUCCAUUUUGCAGAUGAGAAAACUGAGAUUCAGGAGUUUAAAUAAUUUGCCUAAUGACACACCCUACUCAGGGAGGGCUGGAAUGUGGACCCUGGUAGGUCUGAUGCCAAACUCUUGCUCUGUCCACUGCACUGUCCUGUAAGAAAAAGGGAAUAAAUCACACUUUGGGGGUUUCUCUGAAUCAUAUGGCUCCAGAAAACAUGAAACAAUGCCUAACACCAGUGUAGUGCUUUUAAUCUUUAAGAGGUUAGCAAUAAUAAUUAAUCUUUGCAAUUCAUCUGGUAUGAAAGUAAUAAAGCAAACUGCCAACCUGAAAUAAACAGCUGGACUUGUGUGUCAGGGGACAUGAUUCUCUGGACUAUUCACUUAAG
rnacentral:lncRNA from 10 species